CACGACUGAGCUCCUAAGCACAGCACAAAUCACUCCUGUCUACCUUUCCUGUCCUAAUGAAGUGUGAAAGUGCAUGUUUACAUAACGCUUGUGUCAUGCACUGGCAUUCAUAAAAAAACAGAAGGCCUCCAAAAUGUUAAGGCUUUGAUCAGGAGCAAGAAGAACAUUUUAAGUUGGAUACUGAGACUAUUUAAAAAUUAAAAUGAGUUGCACUGUAAAAAGAGGAAUAUGUGUGACUGAGAGCAUUAUGAAAAUACAAAUAAAAUCUAUCAUUAGUCACAAUCUUAACAGACAUGUGUGGAUAGUAAUCAAGGGCAUAUAAUUUGCUGAUUACUGUACUGACCAUGUAUAGACAAUUGGUAUUAUGACAGUUCUUUUAGAGAAGACUGGAAAAAUUACAAAGCCCUAGCAACACUAGGGUUGAGAUAGAAGCUUUCUAAGGUCAGUGUGAAGGUAGGGAGACUGACAACAUUUUAAGAUCACAGAGUCAGUCUGAAUGCUCUCAUCUUCCAUCCUCCCCACCCCCGCCUCCCCCCAAAAAGCAGAGUGAAUACAUUAAAAAGUAGUAAAAAGUAGUAAAUCAUCAUCUUAGAAUUGUAGACUUUUAGGCUAGAAAAAGCCUUAAAAUGAUCUAAUCAUGCCAUAUUCACCAAUGUCAUUCCUGACAGAUUAACUUCACAGAUUUUCAUGUGAAAAGACGAAUUCUGUGAUCUACACUAUUCUCCCACUACCUGAUUGCGCUUAGUAAACUAAACAUGCAGUUAGGUUAUCAACAAAGAAAGGCAUCAAAAGGAAAAAAAAAUGUUUUUGAAAACAUGUGAUCUUUUACAUUAGUAUCAAAAUAAUUAUACUGACCAAAAAAUUCUCUUACAGUUUUUUAAUAAUUUUUUAAAGCAUUCCAAAGGAGACCAGAACAUACUGCAGUCUUUCAGGAAACCAUAAACAAGACUGAAGAAUGUCCGUCUGAAACUCUGCCUUGAAUGAAGAAACUUCAUUAAAAAAGAAGUUGGCUUCCAGUUUUGCACAGGCGUCGGUGGAAUGCUGUUUUGUUUGUUUGUUUGUUUUUUUAAUUUUCUACUUUACCCAAUGAAAACAACGUGUUUUUAUGUGCUGUGCAAAUGGUUCCUUCAUGUGGUCUGACAGUUUAUUUUUGCAUCAUUUUUUUAAUUAAAGAAAACAAUCCCAGAAGAGGACAACUACUACAAACAAAUAAAGCAAAACAUGGAAGGUUGACAUUCAUGUGGAAGAACAAUUGAAUUCAGAAUUUAUCUGAAGGUGUAGAUAGAUUCUUUUUUUUUUUUUUUAAACAGGAAAUCUGAUGUCAAGAGGUGGGCAAGCAGAAAUGGAAACAAAUUGUCUUCCUCAGUAAUUAAGCUACUCUUUCUUUUUCCCUUCUUGUUUAAAUCUAGUGGGUUGGGUUUUUUUUUUAUUUUAUUUUUUUCUUAGAAAUAUUUAGGUAAGGUUUAUCUUGAAUCUUAAUUGCCUUAAUUUUAAGGACGUCAAAGGCUCUCGAGGCAAGCUGUCAACGUCUUGUUAAAACCAAGAAAGAAUUGAAAUAUUGUACCGGUUUUCACUGGUACAGAAGUUUAAGACUAUGAGUUUUUAGGGUGGAAAAAAAAACUGUACAGUUUUAAAGAAAAUGUUUUUCUUCAUUUGAAGAAAAUUUGCUGAUAAAAGAAACCAUGGCAACUGCAAGAAUUGGGGAAAUGCUGGGACUUCUCAUGAACUUUGUCUUAAGUGUUGAAUCGUUCUAGAAGGCUAAAACAUUUUAAGGUAAAGUUAUUAAUGUUGGUUUAAAAACAACUGCAUUAGAAAUAAUGCGUGUUUGGGGGGCAGAAUGCAGAUUUUUUUAAUUUCCAAAGCGUGAUCGCUAGCAAAAUCAUUAGUGCUUUUUAUCUGCAGUCUUUUUUAUGAGCUUUACAAACUUUUUAGUCAGCUUUGCUUGUCACAUUGCAAAAUCUAGCUUAAGAGCAUUAAAAAAAAAAAAAACUUAAGUAGAUAGGAGCUUAUUGUCAAAAAGUGCAAAAAAGAAAAAAACCACAAAAAAAAACAACAAAAAAAGCAAUAGAUAGAGAAAUUGUUGACAAUUUCUGUAGUCUUUCCUAGUUGUGAUCAAAUUCAGCCUAUGGAUGGCCUGUUUUAUACCAAAGAUGAAGUGGCACCCUGUUGCAGUCCAGAAGAUAGAGGUUGCUUUUCUUUUCUUCUCUUUUCUUUUUUAAAAUUUUAUUUGACCUACAUGGCCGGACCAGUUCUUACUUUGUUUGUUUAAACUACCUUCCACUGGUGUUUUUCAUACUGCAAAAAAAAAAAAAAAAAUUGUUUUUAUUUUAAAUGUAUAUUUGUGGAUAGUAGAAGCUUGUUCCUGUGGUCAGCAAUAGUAGCGCCAAGAGUUCUGGAUUCCAACCAAUAGAGCCAAAUGGCUUUAAAUUCCAUGUGCUUUUCUGGUUCUUUCCUAGUGCUCUUGAAUCAUGAAGUCUGUAUCGAUGGCCACCAAUGAGCUAACACACUUGUUUAACAGGUUGAAAUUUCAUUAUGUGAAUUUUGGACUCAAGAUACUUCCUGAACUGGUCUGAAAGAUCACUUGUUGAAAAAGCUCAGUGAUGCUCUGUUGAGUGGUGAGUGGUCUCCUAAAAAGGCCUUGCACGGUAUUUGUAACAAUAGCCUUCCUUCUAAAUCCCUGCACCUCUAGAUUUUGUCUUCUUGCCUCAGUCUUUGUCAUCAUCUACCAUGAAUAGCCACCUUGAAUCUGCAGUUGGGGAGGGGAUAUCUUUUUUUUUUUUUUUGCCUCAUUUCAUUGUAUUUUCAUAUCCUGGUAUUGUCAGAAGAAAGAAAACUUUUAAAUUUCAGUUUAACUCUCUGAGGCAAAUAGGACCAAUAAGAUUGAGGAUUCUAUUAGUGGAAUUCAGGUAAGCUUUUAAUGCUAGUUGACAAUCAAGAAAUAGUAUGAUUUAUAUGAAUAAGAACCCAAAUAAUUAGAUUUGAUCGAUUUUUAAAGCCAAAGGAGAUAUAUAUUACAUUGAGAAUGAGGCAAAACUUUGUCUAAAAUGAAUUAAAUUGACUUACCGAACACCUCUGCAUAUUUGACUCAUAAAAUCUAUGUUCAACCUGUACAGUUUUACCUGAAAUGAAGGACAGUGGAACUCUGUUAACUGAACCAUGCACUAGAAUGGCUUUCUAAUGGCUUAUUAGAAUCAAUAGUUGAAACUCUUUUCACAAAGUCACAGGAACCUGUCUUAGUCCAGAAGGAAGAGGCACUGUAAAAGAAAACAGGGUAGGCAUUUAAAAAUGAAUAUAUUAAAAGGUAAAUCAUAUUCCCAUUAGGUCAACAUGAAUAAUGAGUUUGACUCAUAAAAUUCAUCAACAUUCUACUAGGUUUGAUCUAUAAACAAAGGUCUAGUGUUAAAAUAUACCUAAUUCUCUUAUUUGAAAAUCCCAUGAAUUGAAAGCUCUUAUCUAGAGAGUGAUUUCAUAUCUUUGUGGUCCAAUUGGAGGCAAACAUAUAGCCAAGGCAGUGUAGCAUGUGCUACAAAAAAAUCCCAACUGGUCACAGCCAUCCCUGUGGUUUCCCAUGCUUUACAGAGAAUACUAAACUUAGGUUUCGUUUUGUUCCAUUCUUCAGCCUCUCGUGUAUUUUAAGGAUGGCAUUUUCUCUUUGAGAAAUGGGCCCCCGAGUCACAGGGGGAUGAGCAAACCUGUAUAGGAGCUGUGCUUUCUGCUUCUCUUUUUCAGUCUCUGAACUCUGUGUAUAAACAAGAAUUAUCCUGGGCAUAAUUCAUUUGAAUAUGAAAUCAACAUACUUUGUCUUCUGUAAAAAAAAAAUCAAUCAAAAUGUAAUGUGAUACUAAGAAAGUCUCAUUUCCACAAUCAACAAUGAGGCUAAGAGGUAGCUACCAUGUGGCUGAUGAAUGUGCCUAGGUAACUUCCUGUUUCUAUUCAAAACUACUGCUUUAUUUAUACAUUCAGCAACAUUUUUUUCAACUAUAAAAUUUCAGUAAUCUCAAUUUUUUAAGCCACUUCAGGCAAAAGAAAAUGACUUGCCAUUUUAUGUGUCCAUCUGUGCUUUAUGUUUGGACUUUUCUUAUAUUAUGCCAUACUAUAAUAUCUUAUUUUAAAUCAAAAAGAUGGAAAAAGUGGCACAUGUUCCAAUUUGCAUAUAUCAUCUCUAAAAUUUAUCACCUAAAGAUUAUUUUUAAGAGUCAAGCCUGGGAAAAAAAUAAAUACAUCAAUAGGUAGGCAGCAUUACAUUGUAUGAAAAGUAAAACAAACCAAAACAUAUGUUCAGUACACACUGCCAUCAGAAUCCUAAUUUAAUCAACAGUACAGGUCAUGGAGAUUUUAACCCAACUUAGGAUUACAAUCAUUUUUUAAGGUAUUCUGGUUCACUAUACUUCAAGCAUUUACUCAGAUUUUCAAUUUUUCCUCUCAUGUGCAAUUGCCAAGACUUAGCCUAAGUGUCAGUAAGCAAAGUAAAACCACAAUCCAAAUAGGAUAAACAUUAUUUCCUCCAAACUCUGGUUCCACGGCCAGUGGAGAAGCGGGUAUUCUUUUAAUAAGGAGGAGGUGUUGUCAAGGAAGUCUGCAUGGUGACUGGGAAGUCCUCAGAGCCUGACCACAUCUUCUGAAGUCAUCAGGGACCAUAGGUAACACUUUCAGGGUGGAAGACUGUCUUUCAACAUGGGCAUGUCUUAAAUAUUGCAAGUUACAUUCUACGUUAUCAAUAAUAAAACCUUUGACCCAGCUGUGGUUUGGUCAGGGUUAGUUUGUUUCCCUGGUAGUUUCGACCCCUCAAAUGUUGUGACAUGCUUCACCACUUAAAUCAACUCUCCUGUGACCUUAACAGAUCUGCUGCAUUUGAGAACAUUUAUGACGCACUUCCACCCCCUCUUAAUGAAAAACUACAUGAUGUUAAAAGCACCCAUAUCAGAGAUGGAAAGCCCUAGGAGAAUCCUAGAUAGAAGGUUCGCUGAACCUACAGAAUCCAUUAACUGCUUGAAAAACCUCUAUAAUCAUUUUCAAUCUAUGGAUAAGAAAAUAAAAGUACUUAGUUUUUCUAACUCUAGUUGAGUAAUUGGGGUGUCUAUUAUAUGCAUAUGGGUUUCCCAGGUAGCCCCAAUGGUAAAGAACCUGCCUGCCAAUUCAGGUAGACAAAAGAGAUACAGGUUUGAUCCCUGGGUUACGAAGAUCCCCUGGAGGAGGACACAGCAGCCCAUUCCAGGAUUCUUGCCUGGAGAAUCCCAUGGACAGAGGAGCCUGGUAGGUGACAGCCCACAGGGCCACUCAGAGUCAGCAUGACUGAAGUGACUUAGUGCGCACGCACACACACACGCACACACACACCCCCGAUGUCCUUCACAGUGGCCUACAAUUCCCAUUAAUGAAAGCUGAGAUCUUACUAGGACCUUUGCAGUCUUCUUUAUGCUUGGGGGAAAGUUUCAAUGGACUGUCUCGACAGAUGAUAAUCUAAGUAGGAGACUAAAAAGACACUUGACCAUUCAGUCUCAUUCUUAAUUUGAGUGCAGGAGCCACUGAUAAGCAGGGAGGCCUUUUUAAGUGGGUUUCCGUGAUAAACGUUUUUAUAUGAUAUGAAAUCAAAUGAAAGGAUAUUUAUAUAGGUAUAUAAUGACAUGCAGUACAUUGGAGGAGCCACACUUCAUAGUCAAAUUUAAACAUGUCACAGAACCCUGAUCUCUAUUACCUUGUCCUCAGUAAAAGAGGAAGAAUGAAAUUUUGUUUUUCAUGUAAUUGAAAAACAUGACUGGCAGGUUUCAAAAUUCUAAGCUCGCUGGGACUGACAGCCCCUCAUUCCAAUUUAAGAGACUGACAGGGUUGUCACCCUUCCCAUGACAGAUUAAUAAUGAGAUUUCAGUAAUGAAUCCAUUUGUCUUGCAAAUGACACCUACCAUGGCAUUGGAGACAGCCGAGUCUAACUCAAAUUGACCAUUUCUUACCAAAUACUCUGAAACAUGAAGUUGGUCCCUUAAUCCAAGUGUUCUUGGCCAUGGCUGUCCCUUGUGGGAUACAGAGUUCAGGGAAGUACAGAAGCUGAGAACAAAAUCCCUGAGUGGCCCAAACAGUCUUUUUUGAUGUAAGGCAGGGAAGCUCAGCCCAGAUUGGUGAUUUCUGGUUUUUUUACCCCCAACAUUUAUGCUCACUGUCACAUAAAAAAAGGAUGGAUAGCUUCUCCACGUUUAUGUCUUUGUAUUUCUGGGAGGGAAAACAAUGAGUUUGGAAUAGCACUGUCUCUGCGGCAGUUCUAAAGCUGGAGCAGGGUGAGGCGGGUCUUGGAGUCGCAGGAAGAACCACUAGGCCACUGGGUCCACAGCUUCAAUCCAUUGUAUUCCCUCCAGUUAGUGACUGCCCUUAAGCCCCAGUCCUGCAGAAACACAAUCACUCCCAGUUUUUGAAGGGCUAAUCAUUUACUUUUGUGCACCUUGUUUAUCUUCUCUUUUCAACUAAGGACUUCUCUUUCUUUCUACUAGAAUUUCACCCUGAGGAUGGAAAACAAAAAACAUUUGGAAAUAAAAUUCAAAUCUAUUUUGUUUCUUGUUAAGGAUCAAUUUAUUGAAGCAGUUUGAAAUCAUUGGUAAAAUGAAUGUCAGUGCAUUAUAUACUGUGAGUUUUUAAUAUCCAUAAUGUCCCUUUCCCAUCCACUGCAAACAAUUGCAAGUUGGCUAUAUGCUUGCAGAACAUAAAUGGAAAAAAGUAUAGCAAAGAAUUUGGCUUUCCUCAAAUCUAGUUUGAUUUUGUUCACUAUUGAAAUUUGAACCAGUAGAGCAGGUCAACUCAAAAUUGAGUUUGGGGAAUAUAGUAAUAGCUCUUGGUUAAAUAUGCACUUUUAUCCCCAUUGUAAAUCUUUGACCAAAAAAUUGCAUUGUUUUAUAAUUUUUUGACUUUGUGUUACUACAUUAAGGCUGUGACCUUGAGAUUCCGUUGGAUUUGUAAAAAAGAAAAAAAAAAUUAUUUCAAAUUUAAACAGUAUCCACAGUGUAACUUCAGUGUUAUGCUUUGGAUUGUUAACCCUCUAAUCUUAUCAAGAAAGAUGCUCUGUCCUCCUCCCCAAAAUAGGUUAUUUCCUCAUUUGUGAAACAGGAGUUAUUCCACGUUUCAGAAACAGGAAAAAUAUUUCAUAGAGAUACUUGAAAAACUUUUCUCCAUUCUGGGAAUUAACGCUUCCAUUUAUUUAAAAAGAAGAAGAAUGUAAUUGGAAUCUUAAUUUAAAAAAUAUAUAUGUGAAAGUGUACUUGCUCUGAAAUACUCAGUUUCCAAAAAGGAAGAAAAGGGGACACGGCUUCUUUUAAAACUGUUGUUUCAGGCCCUGUCUGAUGUCAUAGAACUUCUGAAACAUCAUUCAAUUCUGAAUUUUAUUUAAGAGCAUUUUGUACUGCUGUCUUUGACUGUCAUGGAAAAUUCUGUAAUUGAACAGUGUUUCUGGUUUUAUUUUUAACUUUUUCAUCUGUACCACAGUCAAAUUAGCUACCAUUUUCCCCGUUCCUUGAGCUUUCUGUAGAUCAGUGGAUGUUAGGUUUAAACUUCUGUUUUCUUUGAUGAAGCUUUCAAUAAAAAAUGAAAAUAAAAUCAA